AACUCUUAGAUAAUUUCCAAAAUAAUAUUAGAAAUUAGUAUCAAAAUUUCCAAGGUAUUACAUUAUAUCUCCUUAAUUACAAUAACGUCAAAAGUCAAGUAAUAAUAAAGUCGCUCACAUGAGCUUAAAAACAACUUCCAUAAAAUACAAAUAAAUGUACAUAAUCUACAACCCAGCUCCUAAGCCACUACCUCAACCCUGCUGAUCAUCACCUGCAGGUCUAACCCCUACACCAUGAAUUAGUGCACCGGGUUAUAAACACAAACCUGAUAAGCUUAAAAAGCUCGUAUGAGUAACUCUCAAAAUAAAACUCAACCAUUCCAACAUCACAUAAGAUAAAACUGGAAAUUCCUACAUUAAUAACUUAGUUCAGGAAUCCCUUAAAAGUAAGAGAAUUCAAAAGAAAUAAUUAAGGGAACACAACAAUUCAAAAUCAAUCAAAUCAUAAAUGAAAUCCUGCAAAAAGUCUAGUUCAGGAAUUCCAUUAAAAUCACACGAUUAAAAUUAGAGAAUCUCUUGCGGAUAAGCAUAGUUCAGGAGAUACUCAAAGUAAGAAAUUUAAAUGACAACAUAUAAGAACAUCACACAAUCAUUUCACAAUCCUUACUUAUGAGUUCGUCAACGCGUAGUCAUCCCUUAUAAGUAACUAGAGAAACUCGUACUCAUGGGUUUGUCAACACAUAGUCAUCUCUCAUGAAGUACCGACAGACUAGAGCUCUAUACUGACCGUAACCAAUCACCCGGCGAAGGCUUGGUUCCCGGUCCACCAUGAAGGCUCCUAAUCUAAUGCACACAAUCACCACUAAGGCACACACCCACAUUAAGGCACACAAUCAACACUAAGGCACACAUCCACAACUAAUGCACACAAUCACCACUAAGGCACACAUUCCACAACGAAUGCACACAAAAUCACCACUAAGGCACACAUCCACAACUAAUACACAAAUAACCACAUCAAUAAAACCAGACAAGCGACACCUCACUAUAAUAUACCUUUUCACAAAGAGAUAUAUCUACACACACAUAGAUUUUCUCAUAAGAAUAAUCUACCAAAAACUAAAGAUAUUAUAGUCAUUAGAACCUUAAAAAUAAUCAUUUAAAAAGGAAAACUUGUUUUCUCUUACCUAUGAGCCGUUGGCGAUCAAGCUCAUAUAUUUUAAAACAAACAAAAAGGAAAACAUAAUUUUUUUAAAAUUAUUAUCAUCAUCAAAAUCAUCAUAAUCAUCAAUAAUAAUCCUCAUCAUAAUUCAUCAUCGUUUUAUCAUCAUCACCACCAUCAUCAUCAUUUUAUCAUCAUAAUCAUUAUCAUCAUCACAAUCCUCAUCAUAAUAAUCAUAUCAUCAACAUUUUCAUCAACAUUUUCAUCAACUUUAUAACCAUAAAUAAAUAGGUCACAAAGUGAACCUUGGUGAGAUUUUACUCACCUAAAUAAUCCUGCUGCGUCUUCAACACAACACAAGAGCCAAGCUUAAAUAUCAACUCCACAAGCUACCUAUAAUUACACAAUUAAUAACUUACUAACUACUUAACAAAAAGAACAUUUCACCCUUAACAAGCCUUAACCCAUGAUUUCCCCAAAAAAAAGACAACCUUCUUCCGAGACCUCCCAAGGUCGUCGAACACUUAACCACAUUCCCCCGCUGCCAAACUUUGGAUUCUCAUAACUCACACUUCGCACAAGUCUACUAUAACAUAGAAUCUAACAAGCAAAACUUACUCAAAACUUACUCAAACUUUACCUAAUCUCAUAAUAUAUCAACAUGCUCGCAUCAACAAGAACUAGCUAACCAAAACAAGAACUAGCUAACCAAAGAAACUGAACCUACACACCCUAACUGACGCACUGCCACGCGCCACCACAAACGGCGACUAGUGGGCCCCACGCGCCCCUUAAGAACAUCACAAUUCGGACAAACUUCCAACACCAAAAAAGUAGCUUAGAACAAGGUGAGCAGUUCUUAUACCUGGGGUCAAGAUCAAUUGGGUCAAAAUUAGGUCCGAAACAUUGCUGCAAACUGCAAUUUGAGGUUUGAAAACUCAGCUUCAAGUUUAUAACUAGCACAAACACACUCAGAAAGAAUGGACAACGACACUUACCUACUACCGCUCCUCGUCGCCGUCGAACUCAAGAUUCCGGCCAAAACAGCCUUGCUAGUUUCAUCACGUUAGCUCGAGCUUGGCGCCACCCACCCAACUAUGGAGUCGUGAGGAGGGGACAACCACAACAAGGUACGUCUCGUCGCCAGACGUCGUCGGAGGAGAGGAGAGAAUUCCGACCAGAGAUGCAAUGGCUUCUGGCUUCGCUGCACUGCCGUUGCUUGUAGUCGACGGGGAAGAUUAGCACGGUUGUCUAGGUGAGGGCGAGGCGGAGCUAACGGAGGCGGUUUGGUGGCCAGCCGUCGCCUAACGGCAGAGAUCGCUCCGGCGUGGGUUAAGCUGCGUGCGCAGGUCGGGAGGAGGAGAGAGAAACUGAAGAGGCUUGGCAGCUAAUUUUUAGGGUUUUCCAAAAUUAAAACCCCCCACUUUCUACUUAUACUAAAAAUUCCCGAAAGCCACAACACUUCUGCUGACUAUAACUUUCGCAUACGAAGUCUGUUUUACGCGUGCCACAUGUCUACGAACUCGUAUCGUCGUGCUCUACAACUUUUGUGAAGGAAGUUUUUAGAGAAACCCAAUAGAUUAGAAAGUCAACUCUUGACCCUUCAAAAUAAAGCAUUUUCAAGAAAUAAAUCACUUGAAAAAUUCCCAAGAAUAUAUUAUAAACUAAUAUCGAAUUUCCGGGGUAUUACAAAAGCCGCUCUCCCUCUCUGUAUGCACACUCCUGUUUUAGGAAUAUAUUUU
rnacentral:lncRNA from 1 species